rnacentral:tRNA from 1 species
GGUUAUGGCUCAGUGGUAGAGUGCUUGCCUAGCAUGUGUGAGGCACUGAGGCACUGGGUUCGAGCCUCAGGACCA